rnacentral:rRNA from 1 species
AUUGAACGCUGGCGGCAGGCCUAACACAUUCAAGUCGCACGAGUGGCGGACGGGUGAGUAAUGUCUGGGCAACUGCCUGAUGUAGGGGUAUAACUACUGGCAACGGUAGCUAAUACCGCAUACCAUCCGAUGUUCCCAGAUGGGAUUAGCUAGUUGGUGGGGUAACGGCUCACCAAGGCGACGCUCCCUAGCUGGUCUGAGAGGAUGACCAGCCACACUGGAACUGAGACACGGUCCAGACUCCUACGGGAGGCAGCAGUGGGGAAUAUUGGACAAUGGGCGAAAGCCUGAUCCAGCAAUGCCGCGUGUGUGAAGAAGGUCUUCGGAUUGUAAAGCACUUUAAGUUGGGAGGCGUUACCGACAGAAUAAGCACCGGCUAACUCUGUGCCAGCAGCCGCGGUAAUAC